CACACCGCCCGUCACACCACGAAAGUCGGCUGUACCAGAAGUGCGUGGGCCAACUCGCAAGAGAGGCAGCGCCCCAAGGUGUGGUCGGUAAUUGGGGUG
rnacentral:rRNA from 1 species